AAAAAAAAGAAACGCCACCGGUGAUGAUAUAUUCAAAUAUUUAGGCUUAAAAACCAGACGGAACUGUUAGCGAAUUGCGUUUGAUGGAUUUUAAUUGUUGUGAAACGGAUUAUGACCGAGCAAGAAAUGUCCUCGUGUUUUAUGGUCAAUUACGGAAAACUUACUUUAAGUCUUUUGUCAUUAACUAUUACGGCAAAAUUGUUUUAAAAAAAAAAAGAACUAAUUUUCCUAAUCUAUCCAUGCAAAAAACCUGCACAAAAUCAUAGUACGUUUUCGAAAUGUUGAAAUCCGCAAUAACCUUUACAUUUAUCUCUGGGAUUUCGGUCCGAAACGUUGUAUUUGUCCGUAAAAACAGUCGUACGUCUUACCCUUUGAGUGCGAGUUAUCGGACAGUAGUUAAGUGAAAAGAUAUUGUCAUUAAUAAGGUUGCCAUUAAAACAAUUAUUACAUCGGAACAACACCAAAACAAGAUUUUUUUUAAGAUUCAAGAUAUUGGACACACUUUAUAAAACUCAAUUAAUUUU